rnacentral:misc_RNA from 1 species
GAUGAAGAACGUAGCGAAAUGCGAUAAGUAAUGUGAAUUGCAGAAUUCAGUGAAUCAUCGAAUCUUUGAACGCACAUUGCGCCCGCCAGUAUUCUGACGGGCAUGCCUGUUCGAGCGUCAUUUCAACCAUCAAGCCCCAGGCUUGUGUUGGAGCCCUGCGGCUGCCGCAGCCUCCCAAAACCAGUGGCGGGCUCGCUAUCACACCGAGUGCAGUAGUUUACUCUUCGCUCAGGGCGUGUGGCGGGUGCUAGCCGUAAAACCCCCAACUUCUCAAGGUUGACCUCGGAUCAGGUAGGAAUACCCGCUGAACUUAAGCAUAUCAAUAAGCGGAGGA